AUGAAUCUCUUCUUCAUCACCUUCAUCUGGAUUCUUGGAGGUUAUAUUCAAGAAUCCAGAGGAGUUACUGUAACUCAGAGUAAAACUCAAUCUGUUUCUGUUGGACAAACCGUCAAUAUAAAGUGUACAAUUGAUACUCGAUUAUCUAGCAAUGAUUUAUUUUGGUAUCAGCAGAAACCUGGAGAAGCUCCUAAACUCAUCAUUACUGAUAUAAAUAAUCGUUAUGGUGACACUUCACAGAGAUUCAGUGGCAGUGGAUCAUCUUAUGGUACAGAUUUUACUCUGAGCAUCAAGUGA